AGAGUUUGAUCCUGGCUCAGAAUGAACGUUGGCGGCGUGGAUUAGGCAUGCAAGUCGAGCGAGAAAUUUUAAAAAGAUACUUCGGUUGAUUUUUAGGAUGGACAGCGGCGAAAGGGAGAGUAACGAGUAGAUACGUACCCAAGGGUUUAGGAUAGCCAUGCGAAAGCGUGAGUAAUACUGAAUAAUGUCUCCGGACCAAAGAUUUAUCGCCCUUGGAGCGGUUUGCUUACUAUUAGCUUGUUGGUGGGGUAAAGGCCUACCAAGGCUUAGAUGGUUAGCGGGUGUGAGAGCAUGACCCGUCUCACUGGGACUGAGACACUGCCCAGACACCUACGGGUGGCUGCAGUCGAGAAUCUUCCGCAAUGGACGAAAGUCUGACGGAGCGACGCCGCGUGCUGGAUGAAGGCCCUCGGGUUGUAAACAGCUGUCGUAGGGGAGGAAAUUUUGACCGAUCCUAGGAGAAGCACAGCUAAGUU
rnacentral:rRNA from 1 species